rnacentral:snRNA from 1 species
GCACUCACGUCGGCAGCACAGAGACAAAAACCGGAAGGACACAGAGAAGAUUAGCCCGGCCUUUGUGCAAGGAUGACACACCAGUUUGUUCCAUAUUUAA